rnacentral:lncRNA from 1 species
UCAGCUUUAGGAAUUUGGAAGCAUUAAUCUCUUCUAUUCACAUCAGCUUACCUGAAUGGCCUUCAAAAGAAGUACUUAUAUAAAGCAUGCAGGUACAGAAGGAUAAAACAUAUGACUGAGGACUAGAGGCAGGAGAUUUGACUGGAACAGAAGUCAAAGGGCUCACAUCUUGAACAAAAGGAACGAAACAGAAAGAGUGAACUAGAAAUGGAUUCUGGCUAUUGGUAGAAUUUGACAAAUGGAAGUCCCACUGUCUUAAUGGUACAUAAACAUCUGAGCCCACCAAGCUUCAACAGAGAGCCCUAAAAGCACAGUCAUCAUGGUAGUCCAUGGGAAGAUCUACCUCACUGCUACUCUCUGCCAUAUCCACUUCCUUUCUGUCUCCCUUCAUUAAAAAAGCGGGCCACCAAACUCGACAAAACAAAAUAAAAUCAGCAAGAC